UACGGAGGGUGCAAGCGUUGUUCGGAAUCACUGGGCGUAAAGGGCGCGUAGGCGGCCGAUCAAGUCUGAUGUGAAAGCCCGGGGCUCAACUCCGGAAGUGCAUUGGAAACUGGUCGGCUUGAGUUCGGGAGAGGAGGGCAGAAUUCCCGGUGUAGGGGUGAAAUCCGUAGAGAUCGGGAGGAAAACCAGUGGCGAAGGCGGCCCUCUGGAACGAAACUGACGUUGAGGCGCGAAAGCGUGGGGAGCAAACAGG
rnacentral:rRNA from 1 species